CCGAACCCACCUAUGUUGAAAAAUGGGGGGAUGAGCUGUGGAUCGGAGUGAAAGGCUAAUCAAGCUCGGAGAUAGCUGGUUCUCCUCGAAAUCUAUUUAGGUAGAGCGUCGGACGAAUACCCUCGGGGGUAGAGCACUGAAUGGGUAAUGGGGGCCCACAGCCUUACUGAUCCUAAUCAAACUCCGAAUACCGAGGAGUAAUAUCCGGCAGACACACAGCGGAUGCUAACGUCCGUUGUGGAGAGGGAAACAACCCUGACCUACGACUAAGGCCCCUAAUUCAUGGCUAAGUGGGAAAGCAGGUGGGACGACCAAAACAACCAGGAGGUUGGCUUAGAAGCAGCCAUCCUUUAAAGAUAGCGUAACAGCUCACUGGUCUA
rnacentral:rRNA from 1 species